AUUGAACGCUGGCGGCAGGCCUAACACAUGCAAGUCGAGCGGAUGAAGGGAGCUUGCUCCUGGAUUCAGCGGCGGACGUGUGAGUAAUGCCUAGGAAUCUGCCUGGUCGUGUGGGAUCACGUCCGGAUACGGGCGCUAAUACCGCAUACGUCCUGAGGGAGUAUGUGGGGGAUCUUCGGACCUCACGCUAUCAGCUUAGCCUAGGUCGGGUUAGCUAGUUGGUGGGGUAAAGGCCUACCAAGGCGACGAUCCGUAACUGGUCUGAGAGGAUGAUCAGUCAGACUGGGACGGAGAAACGGUACAAACGGAUACGGGAGGCAGCAGUAGGGAAUAUGGGAGAAUGGGCGAAAGACUGAGCAAGACAGGCCGAGUGUGUGAAGAAGGUAUUCGGAUUGUAAAGCACAGUAAGUUGGGAGGAAAGGCAGUAAGAUAAGACCUUGAAGUAUUGACGGUACCAACAGAAGAAGCAACGGCUAAAUUCGUG
rnacentral:rRNA from 1 species